ensembl:lncRNA uncharacterized LOC115538433
GCUUUGCGAUUGGCUAAGAUAUACCGGAAGUCAGAGUUACGUUGCUUUUUGGCGGGCGGAGAUGGCUCCGCCUAAGUACUUCCGCUCAAUUUGAAUUCCCAUUCAGUGCUAGUCAAGCCCAUACAUAUAGAACACUAGUAGCGGCGGCGUCUAGAACGUCACCAUAGGCGGCCAUCUUACAACAGUAAAUCUUGCUGUUGGAGUCUGGGGUAGCUGAGGAAAUUGCUGACAAGUGAAGAUGCCUGACUUUUGUGCAGCCUACGGAUGCGUCAAUCUACGAACUCUCCAAACGAGAACCCGUGGGAUGACCUUUCACCUGUUUCCCAAAAACAAAACGAGAAGGAUUAAGUGGGAAAUGGCCCUAAGAAGGGACAGUUUUACUGCUUCUGACAGAUCACUGCUCUGCAGUGACCACUUCAGGAUUGAGGACUUUGACAGGACGGGGCAGACUGUCCGGCUUAAAGAUGGUGUUGUGCCAACCCUUUUCAACUUUCCAGCUCGUCUUCAAAGGUCGGUAGCAACCAGAAGCGCAACCAAAUCUAAAAGAGCGGAAGAGAACCUGGCAAUGGACUUGAUGCCUGAUGUUGAAGCUACUGGAGAGAGGAGAUUGAGCAGCAAGUGGCAGGACACUGACCACUUGUAUGCAUUGCCUGCUUGCCCUUCCCGUGAGGAUGGACACUGGGAUUUCAGCUGCCUUCAGUGUGCAGAAUGUAUAUAGUUCUCUGCAAACCUAUGGUGGUACCAUGCCUUCAGUGUGCAUAUUGUAUAAAGUUCUCUGCAAACCUAUGGUGGCAUCCUGCCUUCAAUGUGUCUUGAACAACCACAAAGGUUGCACAUAUUAUGUUCAUAUUUUAUCGUAUUUGCCUAAUGCAUAUUUGACUGUAGAUAGAUUUGAGUGAAGUAACCAACACAAUAGAUUGCUGAGUUUUAGUAACCCAUGUAUUGAUUUAACAUAAAUAACAUGAAUACCUUGUGCAUGUGUGUUUUUAUUGCACCUAUCUGUUCUGUUUAAUGUUAAUUUCAUAUGAAAACACAUGGUUUUAAUUACACAAAUACAUCUCUGUUCAGGGUGGGGAAUACAUCUUGCAGCUUUUGUUGACGUAUAUUUGUAAAGGGAAAUCUUGUACCUAUUUUAGAACAUUAUUCUAUUUUUCUUAGAACCAAAGUAUUCAUAAGUAUGUACUGUCAUGCCUACAUAUCUGACGUUUAUAAUAAACUAAACCGUUUGAAAAUCUGUUAAGAA